rnacentral:rRNA from 1 species
GACGAACGCUAGCGGCGGGCUUAACACAUGCAAGUCGAAGGGAAACGCCCUGCAUAGGUGGGGUGCGCGAGGGGCGGACGGGUGCGUAACAGGUGAGUGACCUGCCCUCGAGCUUGGGAUAUGGUGAGGACACUGGGGAUAAUACAGGAAAGGACAACGUGAUGCCUGGAGGGGGUCGGAAAGUGUCGGCGGAUGGGGAUGGAGUGGCGGCGUAUCCGCUUGUUGGUCGGGUAGUGGCUUACCAAGGCCUUGACGGGUAGCAGGCCUGCGGGGGUGACCUGCCACACUGGGACUGCGCUACCGCCCAGCCUCCUACGGGAGGCAUCAGUGGGGAAUAUUGCCCUAUGGGCGGAAGCCUGAUGCAGCAACGCCGCGUGUGGGAUGUCUGCCUUCGGGUUGUAAGCCGCUUUCGCCUGUGACGAAGCGUUAGUGACGUGAAUGUGAAGAGAAGCACCGGCUUACUACGUG